rnacentral:rRNA from 1 species
CUGGCUCAGGAUGAACGCUAGCGGCAGGCCUAACACAUGCAAGUCGAGGGGCAGCGGGGUGUAGCAAUACACUGCCGGCGACCGGCGCACGGGUGCGUAACGCGUAUGCAACCUACCCAUGGGAGGGGGAUAACCCGGAGAAAUCCGGACUAAUACCCCGUAACACACACAUUCGCAUGGAAGUGUGUUGAAAGAUACGUCGUCCAUGGACGGGCAUGCGUGGCAUUAGGUAGUUGGCGGGGCAACGGCCCACCAAGCCAUCGAUGCCUAGGGGUGCUGAGAGGCUAAUCCCCCACACUGGUACUGAGACACGGACCAGACUCCUACGGGAGGCAGCAGUGAGGAAUAUUGGUCAAUGGAGGGAACUCUGAACCAGCCAUGCCGCGUGAGGGAGGAAGGCCCUAUGGGUUGUAAACCUCUUUUGCCUGGGGGCAAUGAGGGCGGUGCGCCGUCCGAUGAGAGUACCAGGCGAAUAAGCAUCGGCUAACUCCGUGCCAGCCGCCGC